rnacentral:lncRNA from 1 species
AUGGAGAAUGUACUCCUGUGGUACAGAAAACGUACUCCUGUGGUACAGAGAACGUACUCCUGUGGUACGGAGAAUGUACUCCUGUGGUACAGAAAACGUACUCCUGUGGUACAGAGAACGUACUCCUGUGGUACAGAGAACGUACUCUUGUGGUACGGAGAACAUACUCUCCGGUGGUACGGAGAACAUACUCCUGUGGUACGGAGAACGUACUCCUGUGGUACAGGGAACGUACUCCGGUGGUACGGAGAACAUACUCCUGUGGUACGGAGAACAUACUCCUGUGGUACAGAGAACAUACUCCGUUGGUACGGAGAACAUACUCCUGUGGUAUGGAGAACAUACUCCGGUGGUACGGAGAACAUACUCUCCGGUGGUACAGAGAACGUACUCCUGUGGUAUGGAAAACGUACUCCGGUGGUGCGGAGAACAUACUCCGGUGGUACGGAGAACGUACUCCUGUGGUACAGAGAACGUACUCCUGUGGUAUGGAGAAUGUACUCCUGUGGUACAGAAAACGUACUCCUGUGGUACAGAGAACGUACUCCUGUGGUACGGAGAAUGUACUCCUGUGGUACAGAAAACGUACUCCUGUGGUACAGAGAACGUACUCCUGUGGUAUGGAGAAUGUACUCCUGUGGUACAGAAAACGUACUCCUGUGGUACAGAGAACGUACUCCUGUGGUACGGAGAAUGUACUCCUGUGGUACAGAAAACGUACUCCUGUGGUACAGAGAACGUACUCCUGUGGUACAGAGAACGUACUCUUGUGGUACGGAGAACAUACUCUCCGGUGGUACGGAGAACAUACUCCUGUGGUACGGAGAACGUACUCCUGUGGUACAGGGAACGUACUCCGGUGGUACGGAGAACAUACUCCUGUGGUACGGAGAACAUACUCCUGUGGUACAGAGAACAUACUCCGGUGGUACGGAGAACAUACUCCUGUGGUAUGGAGAACAUACUCCUGUGGUACGGAGAACAUACUCUCCGGUGGUACGGAGAACAUACUCCUGUGGUACGGAGAACGUACUCCUGUGGUACGGGGAACGUACUCCGGUGGUACGGAGAACAUACUCCUGUGGUACGGAGAACAUACUCCUGUGGUACAGAGAACAUACUCCGUUGGUACGGAGAACAUACUCCUGUGGUAUGGAGAACAUACUCCUGUGGUACGGAGAACAUACUCUUCGGUGGUACGGAGAACAUACUCUCCGGUGGUACAGAGAACGUACUCCUGUGGUAUGGAAAACAUACUCUCCGGUGGUACGGAGAACAUUCUCUGGUGGUACGGAGAACAUACUCCUGUGGUACGGAGAACGUACUCCGGUGGUACGGAGAACAUACUCCUGUGGUACGAAGAACGUACUCCUGUGGUACGGAGAACAUUCUCUCCAGUGGUACGGAGAACGUACUCCUGUGGUACGGAGAACAUACUCCGGUGGUGCGGAGAACAUAGUCCAGUGGUACGGAGAACAUACUCCAGUGGUACGGAGAACGUACUCCUGUGGUACGGAGAACAUACUCCUGUGGUACGAAGAACGUACUCCUGUGGUACAGGGAACGUACUCCGGUGGUAUGGAGAACAUACUCUUGUGGUACGGAGAACAUACUCCUGUGGUACAGAGAACAUACUCCGGUGGUACGGAGAACAUACUCCUGUGGUAUGGAGAACAUACUCCUGUGGUACGGAGAACAUACUCUCCGGUGGUACGGAGAACAUACUCUCCGGUGGUACAGAGAACGUACUCCUGUGGUACGGAAAACAUACUCUCCGGUGGUACGGAGAACAUACUCCUGUGGUACGAAGAACGUACUCCUGUGGUACGGAGAACAUACUCUCCAGUGGUACGGAGAACGUACUCCUGUGGUACGGAGAACAUACUCCGGUGGUGCGGAGAACAUACUCCGGUGGUACGGAGAACAUACUCCUGUGGUACGGAGAACGUACUCCGGUGGUACAGGGAACGUACUCCGGUGGUACGGAGAACAUACUCCGGUGGUACAGAGAAUGUACUCCUGUGGUACGGAAAACAUACUCUCCGGUGCUACGGAGAACAUACUCCUGUGGUAUAG